rnacentral:misc_RNA from 1 species
ACCUGUUCCGCCAAUAGUUUCCUCCCUGGAAGGGCCGCCCCGAGGGGCGGCCCUUUUCAUUCCAUACA